UAACAACUAGCCUUUGGAAAGUAUCAUAAUUGUCUCUCACUGAAUUUUUGUUUGUAUAACUCUAAUUUCCAAAGGUUCCUGGCUUCAUCUGUUACCUUCAAUAGAGGAAUGAACUAAAAAAGACGAACCAAGGAGGACAAUUGACAGUGUGUCUGCAAUUGACUUGAACACCAUGAAUGUGCAGAAAUAGUGGUUUCCCUAGCAAGUGACUAUGAUGAGCUUGGAACUGUGUGAACAGCAGCGAUAAACAGUUGUUGACUUCUCUGAGGCUUUUUUUUUGUGUCAGAAUUGAGAUGUACCCCACAGUAUAGCUCCAAGGUUUUGUUCCAAAGGAAAAAAAAAGCUGAGACAGUACUGCAUUUUUAAUGGCUGAGUCAUCUGCCUCUGUCCCAACAGCAGAAUCUCAUUUUAGGACUCCUCUGAAAUUCAAGUUUGUUUCCACUGCUGCUGAUAAAGAAGGGGAGAUGGGGCAGACAUGGGAAAAUUUCAACCAGAUGAUGGAGAAAAAUGAUAGUGCUCCAAUGCUGUAAAGGAGACAUACCUGCUAAAGAAAAGGAGGUAAGUCCAACAUCCUUCUGCAAAGGAAGGGAUCAGUGCUCCAAAGAAGACGUUUUUCAAAUAUUUGUGUUUUUUUUUUUUUUUA
rnacentral:lncRNA from 1 species